rnacentral:lncRNA from 1 species
CCAGAUUUUCUUACAAAUUAUCAUUUUUCCUGAAAUAAAUAGUAUAGUGUUGAAAAAUCAAUAUGGAUAAAAAGUCGAGACGUUCAAAUCCGGGCAAUUUGCUUGCCAAAGUACUUGAUGAAGAGGAAGAAGACGAAUUUUAUGCGACAACCUUUGAUUAUAAAUAAAUGGCGGCAACGUACGGAGGAUUCCACGAAACUGAGGAAGACAAUGAUUACAUGAAACGUCAACAUCUAUCCGUCAAGUCAUUGGCGUUCCAAGUUAGCAGUGGCCGGCCAGCUGGUUGGUGCUCCAGAGAAGGUUGAAGAAGAUGACAGUGUCUACUAGACCUGUCUGUCGAGCAUAAAUCGAUAAGACAGAGUACAGCAGUGAAGUCAGCUGAGACUCAGCGGAGGAUGAAGAUUAGAACCGAACUGAAGAAAAGAUAGCCAAAGAAGUAGGAAGAUCGUAUGUCCACGCAGGAGGAAUUUUUGGCUGAAGCUGUGAUUACGGAGGAGGGAAAACCUUAGAGAGAUUUAAACAAAUUGAGUUGGAAAAGAAGAAGAUACGGCCUAUAAAGACAACUAUCACCGGUCCUAUUAUUCGAUACCAUUCCUUUUAUUGAAGAAAUUGCUGACGAGGAUGAAAAACCUAACUUGUUCGAAGAUAAUAUAGGUGCUAAUAUCGAAAUUGAAAAUGAAAAUCAGCCCUCUACACAGACCCUUUGAGCAAGCUGCCGUGUCCCAGCGUUUAAGCCUUGCGUACCAUCCGCGAAAAUUACCAGCAGCUAGAAGCUUGAGGUGAUAACGACCCCAACGUCAACCGCUCAAGUGGCUGAACAUUCCUACGUAAAAAUAAAUAUCUAGUAAACACUUGAUAUAGUUAUCGGCACGGAUAUUGAGCCCUGACCUUCACCUGCGCAGAAGCGAUUUAUUAGUUUAUUGCCUUAUGUGUACAGUGCGCAAAGCAAUCCCCUCUCUUCCGCCCAGAGCUCAAUAUCCGUCCCAGUAACUAUACGUCAAUGUACAUAUCAAGCUAUACAAAACUAUCAAAGCUGACCGUUCUAUUUGUAGCUAGCUAGGUCAUAUGAAGUCCAACACAAACUGGAUUUGUAUAGCUUGAUGUGCAACCAAUGUUUGUUUAGUUUGCCAUUUAUAUCGGGCUUAAAAGCCCGUAUUUUAUAUUAAUAUAUUCAUAUACACAACUUAAAAAUAUACUAUAAUUUAGCUUAAAGAGUAUUAAGAGGGCUAUCACAAAUUUUCGCGAAUUUAAACGUUUUAUACGAGUUUUGAUGCUUUGGAUAUAGUCACAAUAAAAAAACAAAAAUAAGAUUCAGAAAGUUUGAUCAUUUAUCUUAAAAGUGUAUUAAAUAAAUAUUUUAAUUUGUCCACGUACAUCAGUAAAAUCUUUGUCUCUGCAAAGGAUGUUUCAUAAAAUGUUGCUUUUGGGUAUCUUUUGAUGCUUCGGUACUCCGAGGAUAUAGCAAUUUAACCAUUUAUAAAAAUGUUCAAGAUACAACUAUAUCUUGUACUUGGAAGUGCUUAAAUCAAUUUAUUACAAUUCAUACAGUAUUACACCAAAAAUAAUUCUAUAAAACUGAGAGUUACUGACAAUUUUCCGUACGAAACUAUAUUUUUUAUCUAUGAAAGUAUAAUCCAAAUUCAAAUAAAAAACAUUUAAUAAUUAAGGUGGUAUUGUUAUAAAGCUUGAAAAAAAAAAUUGGUCUAUUUAAAAGUAAAACAAUAUUUUAAAAUAAUUUUUGUUUGCAAUGCAAAAAUCAAUAUAAAUCUUGUGACGCGCGGUGUUCAACUUUAGUCAGCGCCAGGCGCUUACCGAGGAGGGACGUAUCGCUCGCUGUUGCGCCGCGUAAACUCGCCGGAGUUCGAAAAAUAUAGCGCAACCUACGCAUCUAACACGUUUUGAUACUAGUGAGUUUUAUUUUAUUUAUUAGUUAUAAUGAUCUGAUUGAAAUGUAAUAUACAUAAGUAUUAGGCCAUGAUAUUCUAAUUCGAAAAUGUUAUAGAUUGGGUUCUCUUUUUUUGAUGUUGGUUAUAAAGAAAUAUGUACGUAAAUGUCAUCGUCGUUAGUUUCGCUGUUGCAUAAUAAUGUAAUUGGACUUCUUUGAUUCUUGCAGGAUAAUGAAAGCAUAUUUAAUUCAGACUAUCAGACUCAAUUGAAUACCAGUACAAAUAAUAUGGUAAGUAUUUUUUGUCACCCGCAAAAGGUAUACGUGACAUAUUUGUUUUAAUAAACUAUCUACAUUCCUAGUUUUCAUUGUUGCAGGAAAAUGAAGAUACAAUACAUGGAAGACGAAUUAUAGAUUUUAGUUUUUUUAUAAAUCAAUUACUUAUAAUUGAUAAACAUGGUGAAAAGUUUGGUUGUCGAUUAAAUAAUUUAAAAAUUGUAAA